CUUCGCCUAUAGGAGACGAGAAGUAAUUGAAGAUAUGCCCUUCAUAGCCGAGUUCAAAAACAGAUGGCCCGCCCUGUUUUCUGAGAGUCAGCUAAAUGCAGAGUUCACCCGCAUUACCACAAUCCCCCUGCUGUCAACCUUUAUGGCCCAACUGCAGGCAUGAGAAUCCCUCACCUUUCGGCGAAAUUCGCCGUUUUGAAACCAAAAUAGGUGACUGACGUGAAUCGUGUAGAUCCGAAGAGUUUUUGUUUUGGGGUAGGGGGGGGGGGUCAAUUGGCCGGCCGGCGUUUAUGAGAUUGGAGUGGGACACGGAGAAAAUGUGGAGUGGUGCUUUUCGCAAUAGAACAUCUUUGAUGGGCACGUGUCGCGUCUCGGCCAAUCAGCGUCAAGAUGUCUUCAGCGUUUGGUGGUUUAGGUUAGCUUGAAUGUUAGCCCGCUAUCUGCUGCUGUCGCGAUGCUAACAAAGUACCCGUACGUUAAGAGCGAUGUGAUUUAGCAUAUUUUUAGUAUCGAUACUUCAUUAAAAGAGCGAUCAGAGCGCACGCGCUGCUCCGUGUCGAGCUGUCUGCGCACACUACGCAGCGAGUGCCGUUAAGUGGCGGAAUUUUCGGCUUUAAAAAUAAAAAUUAAAAAAGAUGCCAGAAGUGAAAUGUUUAAGUUCAGUCUGUAAAGUUCUGUUACUGUAACUCUCCAGUUGCUCAUCCUGAUGAACUCUGUAUCAUCUGGUCAGAUACAGACUAACAGUCUCAUAGUGAUAAUCAAUGCUAUGAUGGCUCCAUGUAGUUUCAUUAAUAUCUUGUAGGCUAAUACUAAUAAUACUGCCAUUUGUUAAGUGUUGAAAAAGUUGGUAAAAAGUGAACCAUACAGAUAUUUUAUUUAUUACUAUUAUAGAUAAAUAUACCAGGAUCGUAUUUAUGGUACUGUUUUAUGGUAUUGUAUCAGUAUCAUGAUAUUUAUGGCAGGUAUGGCAUAGAUUAGAACAUACGUGUCAAACUCAUGGCCAGCGGGCCAAAUGUGGCCCGCCACGUCAUUUUAUGUGACGGCAUUCUUGUGUCCUUAAGAUUCACUUGUUGGUUCAUAAUUGACUGUAAAAGGGAAUAUAAAUAAAUAGUUGUGUUGUGCAUACUGUGAUAUUCUGAACACUCAGGUUCAAACUGCAACAUCUUUUCAUUAAAUACAUUUGAGAAGUUAAAAAUAUC